rnacentral:sRNA from 1 species
UCCAAAUCCUUGUUUCACAUUGAAUGUUUUUAAAAUGAAUUUGAAAUUCAGUAUCUAUUCACCAUGACCUAAGAGUAUACAGAGGAAACAGUUAGAAAUGACCAGUUGAGGGUAGGGUGUUUAAUUGAGAAGUCAGCACACACUGGCAGCUCUUAAACCAAAUAUUGGCUCGUUUAACUUGAAACUUUCCAAGUUCUUCGAUUUGAUUUGUCUAAUGGAACAAAUUGAUGUUACCUUGAAGUGGUAUGAGGACCUGAUACCUUCAGCCUACUUUCCCCACUCCCAAACAAUGAUACAUCUUCUCCAAGCGUUGGAUGUGGCCAAUCGGCUAGAAGUGAUUCCUAAAAUUUGGAAAGAUAGUAAAGAAUAUGGUCAUACUUUCCGCAGUGACCUGAGAGAAGAGAUCCUGAUGCUCAUGGCAAGGGACAAGCACCCACCAGAGCUUCAGGUGGCAUUUGCUGACUGUGCUGCUGAUAUCAAAUCUGCGUAUGAAAGCCAACUCAUCAGACAGACUGCUCAGGAUUGGCCAGCCACCUCUCU